UAGGGAAUCUUCGGCAAUGGGGGGAACCCUGACCGAGCAACGCCGCGUGAGUGAAGAAGGUUUUCGGAUCGUAAAGCUCUGUUGUUAAGGAAGAACGAGUGUGAGAAUGGAAAGUUCAUGCUGUGACGGUACUUAACCAGAAAGGGACGGCUAACUACGUGCCAGCAGCCGCGGUAAUACGUAGGUCCCGAGCGUUGUCCGGAUUUAUUGGGCGUAAAGCGAGCGCAGGCGGUUAGAUAAGUCUGAAGUUAAAGGCAGUGGCUCAACCAUUGUAGGCUUUGGAAACUGUUUAACUUGAGUGCAGAAGAGGAGAGUGGAAUUCCAUGUGUAGCGGUGAAAUGCGUAGAUAUAUGGAGGAACACCAGUGGCGAAGGCGACUCUCUGGUCUGUAACUGACGCUGAGGCUCGAAAGCGUGGGUAGCAAACAGG
rnacentral:rRNA from 1 species